UGAAAGUGAAAGUUUCAGGCUAAAAGGCAAAAGGGGCUGCAAGGAUAAUUUCACCUCACUCAAUUUAGGAUACCAGUGGAGUUCACAGUUCACUCUCCAGAAUGACCGAGGCCGUGGACCGACUGCGUCUGCUUCAGUUUGUGCUGAUCCAAGCCCUGCUUCUCACAGGCUGCUCCAGUGAAAGUGACAGUAAUGUCGAAUGUCAGAACAUAACUGGAACAGUUGGGAAACCAUUAACUCUGACCUGCAAUAUUACACGUGAUCCAAGCUGCAGCUGUGUCCGAUACAAAUGGAUAAAGAAUGGAAUUGAGCUGAAAAGUGACACUGAUUGUGAAGGGAAAUGUACAUUGAAUUACACAAUUCAGAAUCCAUCCAUGAAUGACAGCAGGACAUUUACACUUUGGGUACAAUUGAAAUUU